rnacentral:rRNA from 1 species
UAGCCGGUCUGGUGCAUUCGUGGGUAAAUCAACCCGCUCAACGGGUUGAAUUCUGCGAGCACGGCCAGACUUGGGACCGGGAGAGGUGUGGGGUACUCUCAGGGUAGGGGUAAAUCCUGUCAUCCUGAGAGGACCACCUGUUGCGAAGGCGCCACACUAGAACGGAUUCGACGGUCAGGGACGAAACCUAGGGGCACGAACCGGAUUAGAUACCCGGGUAGUCCUAGGUGUAAACGCUGUGGACUUGAUGUUGGGGGUGCUCCGAGCACUCUCAGUGUCGAAGCGAAGGUGAUAAGUCCACUGCCUGGGGAGUACGGUCGCAAGGCUGAAACUUAAAGGAAUUGGCGGGGGAGCACUGCUACCUGAGGAUUGUGCGGUUUAAUUGGAUUCAACGCCGGAAAACUCACCAUAGCCGACGGACAAAUGAAGGCCAGCGUAACGAGCUUGCUGGAUUGUUCGAGAGGUAUUGCAUGGCCGUCGUCAGUUCGUACCGUAAGGCGUUCUGUUAAGUCAGAU